GCUCAUUCUAACUUGCCUGGUCCAUUGACUAAACUUAAUGCGACUGCAGAUGUUUUAACUCGAUCUAAACGUGAUCUUUAUCCUGUACAUUUUCCUCCCAAGAAUAGAGUUGAAGUUACUCCUCCUCCUCAAUCUCUUUUCCCUAAAGCAGGACAUGUCCCAAUUUACCGUACUCCUCCUUUCCGUUCGUCAUGCUGUCAAGAAUGGCUAAUAUACUGCAUUCAUUAUCUUCAUACUCUUGAUACUCAUGGUCCAUGUCCUGGACACCCUCAUAUUAUGGGGGAAGGUUGGUGGCUGAGCCAAGAUUGGCCUCUCAAUCUCCGGAGGUCCUCUGGAAAGAUCCGUUAACCAGCACUUGGCGUGGUCCUGAUCCUGUGUUGAUUUGGGGACGUGGUCACGUGUGUAUCUUUCCCAGAUCAGCGCCUGGACCUUGCUGGCUUCCUGAGCGCUUAGUCAAGCAAAUAGAUGGCUCGCCACAGCUCACCUAGUUCAGAAGAUGAAGAAGCUCUGCACCUCUCCGGAAAAUUUGACAGUGUUGAUUGAGAAAAAGAAGAAGAAGAGGAGACCACUUGCCAGGACGACUCAAAGGAGUGAUGUUCCAACUUGGGGACAAAUUAAACAACUGGUUUCAUGAGUUCAAGAGUCAGUGAAACAACAGAAUAAUCCUGUUACACCUGUAACUUUAUUUUUGGUUAUGUUGGCAACCAUUUCAUGUGUUCCCUCUGUUAAUGCAGCAACUUACUGGGCCUGUGUACCUGAUCCUCCACUAUUACAACCCAUAUCUUGGUCUGAA